AGUAAAAUAAAUAAAAAAUCAGUUAAAUAAAAAAUUGAAUCUAAGCCAGAUAUUUUUAAAAACUAGUGAAAAAAAUCAGAUGUCAACAAGUGAAGAGGUAACACGUUUACAGUUCAAUAGGCCAUGAGAUUUCCUGCGAUUGUUUUAAGCUCUGCAUUUUAUAUUUAUACAUUUUAUACUAGUAUUAAUGCCAAAGAAGAACGCAAAGAAGAAGAAGAAGAAGAAGAAGAAGAACAAGAUGAUGAUGAUGAUGAUGAUGAUGAGUAAGAAGAGAUGAAGAAGGUCAGACUGGGCAAGCGUAACCAACGAUGACGAUGACAGUAUAUGAGCGAAAACAGAGGAGCUCAUUCAGUUUUACAUAUAUAUUAAUAUAUAUACUUACCAUCGAACCACAUUGAGAUAUUGUCGCAAUGCAAGUGCGUUAACGCACUUGAGUUUAAUCUAAAAAAAUAACGUGCAUCAUUAAUCCAGAUAAUAAAUAACUAAAAUUACAAUUAUAAUUAGGAUUAAUAUUCUUGAAAGUUUGAAAUUAAUAUAUUGAAUUGGCUCUUUAUUUUCAGACUGGCCUACCAGAUAAAGAGACAUGCGUGAAUAUGAGGGCACUUGUUGAAAUGAAUGAGAAGUAGGCGGCUUCAAUGACUGACCGAGGUCGGUUCAAUGAGGGCUUCCACUGUCCAAGUCUCGUUUAUUCUUCCGGCUUCAAACACUUCUAUUAUAUAUUACUUAUCUCGUAUAUAAUAUAAUAUAAUA